GAUGAACGCUAGCGGCAGGCCUAAUACAUGCAAGUCGAACGGUGUAGCAAUACACAGUGGCGCACGGGUGCGUAACACGUAUGCAACCUACCUAUCAUUGGGGGAUAGCCUUUGGAAACGGAGAUUAAUACCGCAUAAGACAGUAACAUGGCAUCAUGUAGCUGUUAAAGCUUCGGCGAUGAUAGAUGGGCAUGCGUCCAAUUAGUUAGUUGGUGAGGUAAUGGCUCACCAAGACGAUGAUUGGUAGGGGAUCUGAGAGGAUAAUCCCCCACACUGGCACUGAGAUACGGGCCAGACUCCUACGGGAGGCAGCAGUAGGGAAUAUUGGGCAAUGGACGGAAGUCUGACCCAGCCAUGCCGCGUGCAGGAUGAAGGCGUUAUGCGUUGUAAACUGCUUUUUUAUAGGAAGAAGAAUCCCUUGCGAGGGAAAGUGACGGUACUAUAAGAAUAAGCACCGGCUAACUCCGUGCCAGCAGCCGCAGUAAAAC
rnacentral:rRNA from 1 species